CCGUAGCCCAAGAGAUCGGGAUAACACCUGGAAACAGAUGCUAAUACCGGAUAACAACAGAUGAUGCCUAUCAACUGUUUAAAAGAUGGUUCUGCUAUCACUCUUGGAUGGACCUGCGGUGCAUUAGCUAGUUGGUAGGGUAACGGCCUACCAAGGCGAUGAUGCAUAGCCGAGUCGAGAGACUGAUCGGCCACAUUGGGACUGAGACACGGCCCAAACUCCUACGGGAGGCAGCAGAA
rnacentral:rRNA from 1 species